rnacentral:rRNA from 1 species
GAUGAACGCUGGCGGCGUGCCUAAUACAUGCAAGUCGAGCGAAUGGAUUAAGAGCUUGCUCUUAUGAAGUUAGCGGCGGACGGGUGAGUAACACGUGGGUAACCUGCCCAUAAGACUGGGAUAACUCCGGGAAACCGGGGCUAAUACCGGAUAACAUUUUGAACCGCAUGGUUCGAAAUUGAAAGGCGGCUUCGGCUGUCACUUAUGGAUGGACCGCGUCGCAUUAGCUAGUUGGUGAGGUAACGGCUCACCAAGGCAACGAGGCGUAGCCGACCUGAGAGGAUGAUCGGCCCGACUGGAACUGAGACACGGCCCAGACUCCUACGGGAGGCAGCAGUAGGGAAUCUGCCGCAAUGGACGAAAGUCUGACGGAGCAACGCCGCGUGAGUGAUGAAGGCUUUCGGGUCGUAAAACUCUGUUGUUAGGGAAGAACAAGUGCUAGUUGAGUAAGCUGACACCUUGACGGUACCUAACCAGAAAGCCACGGCUAACUACGUGCCAGCCGCCGCGGUAA